rnacentral:rRNA from 1 species
CAGUCGCCGCGGUAAUACAGAGGGUGCGAGCGUUAAUCGGAUCUACUGGGCGUAAAGCGUGCGUAGGCGGCUUUUUAAGUCGGAUGUGAAAUCCCUGAGCUUAACUUAGGAAUUGCAUUCGAUACUGGGAAGCUAGAGUAUGGGAGAGGAUGGUAGAAUUCCAGGUGUAGCGGUGAAAUGCGUAGAGAUCUGGAGGAAUACCGAUGGCGAAGGCAGCCAUCUGGCCUAAUACUGACGCUGAGGUACGAAAGCAUGGGGAGCAAACAGGAUUAGAUACCCCAGUAGUCCCUGUCUCUUAUAC